rnacentral:rRNA from 1 species
AUUGAACGCUGGCGGCAGGCCUAACACAUGCAAGUCGAGCGAGUGGCGGACGGGUGAGUAAUGUAUGGGAAUCUGCCUGAUGGAGGGGGAUAACUACUGGAAACGGUAGCUAAUACCGCAUACCAUCAGAUGAACCCAUAUGGGAUUAGCUUGUAGGUGGGGUAACGGCUCACCUAGGCGACGAUCCCUAGCUGGUCUGAGAGGAUGACCAGCCACACUGGAACUGAGACACGGUCCAGACGCCUACGGGAGGCAGCAGUGGGGAAGAUUGCACAAUGGGCGCAAGCCUGAUGCAGCCAUGCCGCGUGUAUGAAGAAGGCCUUCGGGUUGUAAAGUACUUUCAGUGGGGAGGCGUUACCGACAGAAGAAGCACCGGCUAACUCCGUGCCAGCAGCCGCGGUAAUAC